GAUUUCCUAGUAUAAUUAGUAUGUUUAACUUCCAAUUAAAAGGUUUGGGGAAUUA
rnacentral:tRNA from 1 species